GGGCGCUGAGCACUAGAGAGAGCGUCUUGUGGCUGCGGCCUGCCCCUCAGCCUCCUCCGCGCGGUUACCCCUGUACCCGCCGCCAUCCGUCCUGGCGCUCCGGAUGAGUCAAUGAGGGGCAGGGCCCGAGGAGUGGUCUUCCCAAGAACCCCUGGUGGCCUCCCAAGGCCGGUGCUGUGUACCUCCUCCCCGACAAAAGGGGAAACUGAGGCCCCGAGGGGAGUGGGAAGAGCCGGCUGGACGUCAGGCCCAGCCGCUGGUGCAGUGGCCUCGUGGGCUGUGCGGCUAUCCUGGAGACAGAUGACAGCUCUCCCUUGGAUGGCUUUGCUGGUUCCGCACCAGCCAGCGCCCCCAUUUUUCCUGCAGCACCCUGAUCUGCACUCCCUGAGGGGCUCCCACUGUCCGCGGUGUGAGGAUGUCCCUGGAUAGUCCACUGUGUGCAGAGGCAUGGGAGUUGUCAUGUUGGGAACAUGCUAGACCUCAGUAUCCUUGAGCUUGAAGAAAGACGACAGAACACUGGAGACCAAGUACUUACAGCCUUCUGCUCUGUGGCCCCUCCUCACUCCAGGGAUGCUGCCUUGGGUCUGGAAACUGUUAGAGGAAACCCCAAGAGGUGCAGGCACUGAGCCUCUCAGGACAAUGACCUGGGGUCCCAGCUCCCCUGGAGGGGCCUCCUCAUGAUUGUUUGGGGGUUGAUCACAGACCAAGAGUGACGAGUGAUGUCACCCUGUGACUCAUGGCUGGACCUUCUUGCCCCUAUUGUCUCAGCACAACAUUAUUCGACUUUUCCCUCAGCGUGGGUGGGCAGAGGAAAAGCCCUGUGGCUCUGGGGACUUGGGAUCCAGAGUUGAAGACCCUUCAGCUGGCUCUGCCCUGCCAGUGCCACAGAGUGCCAUGGCCCAGGAAGACAGGUUUUCUUCCAUCUAGGCCAGGCCAUCCAGUGGCCAUCCUCCGUGUCCUCCCGCCUCCUCCUGGUGUGACUUCUGAAAACCAAGAAUUUGUUCCUGUUGACUUUUUCUGUGCUAUGGACCAUUGUCCUCUCACCCACUCAAUAAAUCUUGAAACAUG
rnacentral:lncRNA from 1 species